AAUUAGUAGAAUAGUUGUCCUCAAACCAGUAAAGUAGAACUCGACAAGUCUCAGCAGCAUUGCAAAGUAUAUUGUAGAUCACCUAGAAUAUUACUUCUAAGGUUUGGAAACUCAUAGUUACACUUUUGUAACUUGUAGUUGUCUUAAUUUCUCCAAAACAGUUGUCACUCUCAGAUGUCUGCUGUAUUAGAUAGACUGCAGGUCUACAAAAUUGCAUAUGGAUAUCUCCUGCAUUGUUUGGCUGAGGGAGGGACAGGUGACAACUCAAACCAAAACCUACAACAGCCUCAGCAUAAAAGAGCUGGGCUUUGAGAAUGCAAUGAACAUGUCAUUUCACACCAGAUAUCACAGCUUAAAAUUAACAUGCAGAAGCUAGCCGUACGAUAAAGAGGACACCUCAAGUUCCAUGUAGAAGUCCCAAGACCCUGUACUGUUGGACCAGUAGUGAUGUCCCCUUUCCUUUUAUACUAGUUAUCUCAAAUAGCAUCAUCAUAUCGUAAUUAAGUUACGUAGUUCUUCUCGAAUUGAUUUGCAUAUAAUUGCCUAAUCAUCAAAUCAAUUACAGACUAGCAUAAUGGUCCGAUUGCUCAAUUGUGUCUUUAUUUAAACUCUACACAGCAAACAUGCUAGAACUGCUAAUGAGGAAUGCAACAGGAAUGACAAAUGAAGAAACAUAUUAUAAGAAGUGUGUGAAUCAAAACAUUUUUUGAAAUUUCAAUUCAGUGCAUGAACUGAGUCUGCUAUAAACGUGAUUAGAAUAGUAAAAUAUAAGCCAAACACAGAAAAACAUACAAAAUAACUGGCAACUAAAGAGAUUGAGAUAGUAAUGAAAACAUACCAAUCAUAAUCAUACAGCAUGGCCUUGCUCUUUAGCUUUCUUCAGCCACUUAAGUGUGCUCUCCAACGUUGUGUAGGCAGCCACAUCAGUCAAACUCUUACUCUCAACUGCAUAAUCGAAAACUUCAUAAGCCUCAGCAACCUUACCAUGCCUACAAAGUGCCCUCACAAGUGUGGCAUAAGCAGCAGUCUCGAGCUUCACACCACCCUCCUUCAUCGCCCGAUACAAUUCAAUCCCUUUCUCCAUCAACCUCGACUUACACAGUCCAUAAAGCAAUGUAUUAUACGUGCAUGAAUUUGGACUACAUCCUUUACCCUCCAUCUCCUCCAACAACGCCAAUGCACCCAGCGCAUCCCCUUCCCUACACAUUCCAUUCAUCAAUGAAGUAUACGUAACAGCAUCAGGAAGAAACCCUGCUUCCACCAUGAUUUUCAAGAACUUCUUUGCUUCACCCACUCUCCCACAUUUGGACAACCCAAAAAUCAACGUAUUAUAUGUAACAAGAUCAGGCUCAACGCCUUCCUCUUUCAUUUUAUUAUAAACACCAAUAACUUCACCUCCUCUACUCAAAUUACAAUACCCUUUCAUAAUAGUAUUGUACACAAAACAAUCAGGCUUAAACCCCGAAUCACUCAAGGCACUAACCAAUCUCAUAGCCUCACGUAAAUUCUUAGUAUUGCAAACAUUAUCGAUCAAAAUGGUAUAAGUGACAAGAUUUGGCUUUAUACCCAAUGAAGCACGCAUUUGAUCAACAAAAUUGUAAACAGUAGUCAGAGAGCGACAUUUACACAAACACUUGACAAGAAAAUUGUAGGUAAAAAUAUCAGGGGGGAAGCUGUUUAAAGAUAAGCCUUUUACCAAUUCAAUAGCAUCGUCUAAGCGAUUGACAGAACAUAAGGACCUGACAGCGAUGUCAGUGGUUCCUUGAUUGGGCGGGUACCCAUUAGUGGUCAUGAGACUAAGCGUUUUGCGGAUAGAGGAGAAGCUAUUAUCAGGUGCUUGGCAGGACUGGGCGAGUAAGAUGUGGUAAGUUGAGCGGUCGGGGUUGAAAGAUGGGUUAGCUUUGAUCAUGUGGUUGAGAAGGGAGAUGGAGUCAUCAACGGUGGAGAUGGAAGCGUAGGACUGGAGGAGGGAGUUGUGGAAGGUACGAUCACGUGGGGUCUGCAUUGUGGCUGUUACGAGGGAAUUGAAGAUUUUUAUGGCUUCCGAUAAUUCUGGGGAUUUGAAGAUAACAGCCGGUGCAGGCGUCUUUUUUUCAGAUUUAUUUGCUGCUGCUGAUUUUUUAGAGGGGUUUUCAUUUUUGUAGAGAAAUUGAUGAGGGGAUUUUAGGGCUUGCGUUGGUGCCGGUGUUUUGAGAAGGUUGUUCGACGAAAUUGCUGUGCGGAGAGCCGGAGGAAUUUUGCCCAUUUUGGUGUGCGAAAUUAAUUUCGCGAUUGCUUGUUCUUUGGUUUCCUCUGCAAAUUUGAGUCGCAGGGUUUGAUUUGAUUUUUUUUUUUUUUGGAAGGGUUUUUUGAUUUGAUUUGAGGCUGAGAGUCAAAUUUGAGUCGCAGGGUUUGAUUUGAUCUCUGCAAAUUUGAGUCGCAGGGUUUGAUUUGAUUUUUUUUUUUUUUGGAAGGGUUUUUUGAUUUGAUUUGAGGCUGAGAGUGGGGGAAAGAUUGGUGUACAAAGUGGGCUGGAGCUGGUUUAAACGGGCUUUUUGUGAAAUUUCACUGUUAACUUUACAAGGCCCAAUCAAGGCACCACUUUUGCCUCAUGCAAGUAUAAAACGAGAUGCUCGACAAACAAGUAAUUAACCCCCAUUUGUUGGCUUUUAUUUUAUUAUUUAGAAGAUGGAAUUAACAUAUCACAUCAUUAUUAUUAUUGAUUAACUUGGACAAGUUACGGCUAAGCAUUAAAGGGUCUUUGGUUGUUGCAGUCCAAAUUGUUGCCGUAGCUGACUUUCAAAAUGUCACAGUAUCUCUUGUAGAACCCGAUGCGAUCCUCCGCAUUCGGAUUCGAACCUUUACCACAUUCAAUGCCACCAUUGAUGAUGUUGGUGAUAACCCCAUAACCAGGAAGGCGACCAGCUUGAGUAUCGGCGGCUGAUGGCUUCCAUUGGCCUGUGAUAACAUCGUGGCAUGAAGGUUUUGGUGACUGUCGGGUCAUCCAGAACCAGAAAGCAGUCUUGAACGAAAUAGUAGGAUCAUUUGCCACAGCAUCUGGGUUGCGAAGCAAGUCAACGUUUAUGGCUUUUCCUGCUGGACCGUAGUUGUAGUUGCUGCAUCAUGAUUCAUGCGUGGGCGAAGUCAAUCAUUACUUCGAGCUAAUUAAUAUAUUAUUGUUUUACUUCUACAUAUAUAUACAAAUUAAGUUAAUUUAAAUCUAAACUGAUUACUAAUGAUGGUGAGACCUACGUACGACUAGUUCUCUAGCUAGCUAAUUACGAACUUACUAUGAAAUCUGGAUGGGACCUCGGCCAAAAUACUUUUUCCCAGGUGCACAUGGCCAUUGUUGACUUGGUUGACAAUAAUCUCCAGGGUUUCCUUGCUCCUGCUUGAAGCAAUAUCCCCAUGCAUAUGGACCAUCGGGCGCAGUAGGCCAGCCACCUUCAAAUUAAAUAUAUUUGCAUUGCAUUAAUUGACUUCGUUAAAAUUCAUUUAAUUAAUUAAUCAAUUAUUAGCCACCAUAAAAUAUACGUAUGUAUAAUUUAAAUUGGUCACCUAAUGCAGCUAAACAAAAAAAAAAAAAAUCAAUUAAAAUAACCUGUAGUUUCAUGUGAAGUUUGAGCCAAAAAGGCCGCGAUUUCUCUUUUGCGAGUAUCGGUGUUACCGGUUGUUCCGAAGGCACCAAAGGAAUUGGCGGCAGCGAUGAAAGCGUCGUAAGUGUAAAAACCUUUUCCUUGGCAAGCAGCAUCAUUACGAUGCUUCAACAGCUGUUCAAAUAGGUCCCUGCUAAUUAGUGAACCGAUAUUGUUCCCGCCGCCGCUUGGAGCAGGUACGGGAGUCGGAUUAGUCGGCGUGGGUGAGGGUGACCCACUGCACUGGCUUUGGCAGCCAUUGGUGCAAUAAGCAGGAGUGUUGCCGCAGAAGCCAAAUUUGCUGCAACACAGUCCUCCUGGACAUACAGCUCCUCCAGCCUGGCUGCCACACUGUUCAGCCGACGCCAGAUUGAUCCACAAUGCCAGAGCUAGAGCCGAACCCCAUAAUAAUCUCAUAUACAACUCCAUUAACUUAAUUUCUUUUUAUUACUAUGAUCAGUUUUUUGUUUUUUUUUGGGGCAAUUUAUCAAGCCAUAUAUAUGUAUACAUUUGGCUUGAAGAAUUUAAUUUAUAGCCGCUAGCUACAUAUUGGACGUAACGUGUACCAACAUGUGCAUGCUCUCAAUCCCAUUAUCUUAACUCUUUAUUAAUUUGACUAUUCAACAUUAGAUGGCGAUACACGUUGUCUGUCGGCUACACGGCAAAAUUUUUGCAGAGAGGAAAGGACUAUAAUAAACGUUGUCCUUCGGCUACACGGCUAGACUUCUGUCCAAAGGAAAUAUAUAUGAUCAGCUACUUUGAAUUAUUCUUGGAUGUUGAUAAGAUCGGUGAGAGCAUCAAGAAAAGUCUAAGGAGAAACAAUUAAUGAUUACCCUCCACGGAAAUUUUUUAUAUUAUUACAUUAGAUAUCAAAAUCUUUGUUAAUAUAUAUGCCGAGAAGAUUGCGGGGAAUCACAUGCAGUACGCUGUUGAUUAUCAAUUUAUCAAUAAUCAAUCUCUUUAUUUGCGAAACAUAAAUUGUUGUUGACACCAACGAUGGGUCAGUAUUGGACCAGCUGGCUUUAGAAAAUUUUGAAGAGUAAUUUUUAUCGAUUUAUAAUUGUUUUAAAUUUGUGAUAGGCGCUCCAAUUCAGUAUUAAAAUUGUCCGGAUAAUUUUGAAGAGUUUUAAAUUUAAACCUCGUUCAUUUUUUUUUUUUUAAAAAAUUAUUAAUUAUUUUGAAUCUAGAAACAUGAAUUAGUCACACCUAAAUGAAGACUAAAGAAAUUUAACAAAACAAGGGAAUGAUUAAAAAACAUGAAACUAUAAAUGAUUUCCCUCCUGUUCUUCUUCUUCUUCUUCUUCUUAGUUAUAUACAUGCAAAUAUUGUAUAUUAUCGCAUUGACUAUGAAAUCACCAUAUAUCAUUUUUAAAACACAAAACCUUGCAACGAUAAUGUGAUUAAUAAAAAUUUAUCAAUAAAUAAUAAUAUAAUAAAAAUUUAGGUAGCAUGCUACAUACAUGACACCUAAAAUCAAAGAGUUACAGAAUGUAAAACAGCUGAGCUAUCAUGAGCGAAUAAUCAAAGCAUAUUCAUUCCAAAGUGAGAAAGAUUGAACUAAAAUAACAUGCCAAGGCUGCAAAAUUUUUUAUUAAAAAUAUUAAAUUAAAUUUGUGAUCUAAGCUAAUUUUCUUGAUUGAACAGCAGAUGCAAGACUGGCCCUCCAUCAUAUAUGUGUGUGUGUGUGUGUAGUAACAGCCUGCCCGGUGCAAAAACUAUGCAACAGGGCAACUCUAUCUCUACGGACAACGAGAGCAAAGCUUCAUUCCCAUUAAAACCAAGAUCGAAAACGAAAAGUAUCUUUCCCCUUGAUUUUUUUGGCCUUUUGAAAAUUGGCUAUUUAUGAUUCACAUAAAAAUAUUUCUCUCUUCCUCUUCUAUGAGAGGCUAUUUAUGAUUCGGCGUAUUUGCUAUAACUGAGGAGUUCUAAAACAAAUUAAAUUCUUCAACACGCAAAUGAAUAAAAAUCCAGCGAGCAUCAACAAACAAACCCAGCAAACUGGCCAGUAGAGUUUGAAGAACAGAAACAGCAAACAAGAAAUAGUCGAGAACAGCUAUGAGAGUGCAUUUAUACUAUUGUCAAGAACAGCUUUGCCUUUGGUGACAAAUCGAAAAUUCCGAAAAAGCAACAGCAAUCUGCAAAGUAAAUCCAUAAGAAGAAGGACUUGCUGAGGUGGUGAGGGUAAUAUAGUUCUAUCAUGUGAAUAUGGGAUAGAGCAACGAGUCUUAUGGUUAGAUAGCAAUGGGUGGGUCAUACAGUGAGACCCACCAAAUUUAAUAUUAAAAAUACUAAUGAAUGCCACAAUAGAACCACUAUUAUGCCACAAAGAGUGGUUGCAUUAAGAUAUAUAUCCGGCCAACUCAACAUAGAAUAAAUUUUCAUAUUGACCACCUUACGCUAGCCCAUAAAAACAAGGAAACUGCAUUUUUUUUUAAGGAAUUAUAGAAUACAUCAUAAGUAUCAUAUGAGCCAUAUAACAAAUUAAUAAUGUUAUGCUAUAUGUGUAUUUAUUUUAAAAUAUUAUUAUAAUUAUAUAAUCUCUAAUGUAUUUUACAAUUUAUCCUUCUUCAAAGUGCGACUACAAAUUAAAGAAACUGAUCAGCAUGGAUCAUUUCUAGCAUACAAAUAAAUCUUGAUCUUGUCUUAUUAAAUGAUUCAUCCUGUCUUAUUAAAUGAUCUUCAAAUACAAGAUAUUUCCAAUAUUACAUAGUAAUGAAUAUAAUAAUUAUUAAUUAUAAUUUUUUAUUGGGAUGAUUGCCAUUGGACUCCUCAAAACACUUAAUGCACUUGAGUUGAGUUGAGAGUUUUCUCUUUUUAAAGAGAUUCUUUUCUCUUUUUAAAGAGAUUCUAGAAUACUUUUUUUUUUUUGGAUACAUUGGAGCCUAGUAAAAACUAGGCUAGAGUGCUUCUAUAAUAUUACACUUACUUAAUGUAUUUAUGACGUAUGCACAUUUGUUUUAAACAAUCAUAAUGUAAUUAAUAGUUAUAUUUAAUACCUGCGCACUUGUCUUAUAUGCAUUAAGUGGGUUUAAUGCGUUAGAAUUACUCUAUAAUCUCUCCUCCCUUUAAAGCAAGACAAUUUAGGGUGCAGUUGCAAAGGGUGUUUAAUUCGCAAUAAUUUGAUUUGGGUUCUUUUGGAUUAGCAAAGCAAUAUCCCCAUGCGUGUAGACCAUCAUCUGCUUCUGCCCGCCCUCCUGCUCGAUCGAUCGAGCUCAAAUAUUAUCAACUUAAUUAAUUAAUAAAUAAAUUAUAUGCCUGUUUAUAUAUGUUUAAUCUAAUGAAUCAAUUAAUGAUAAAAAAAUAUUACACUUCGCUAGCCCAGCGUACUAUUUAUACGCACAAAUUGAAUGUAUACUAAGUAACCUGUAGGUCCAUGAGAAGUUUGAGCCAAAAAAGUUGCAAGUUUCUUCUUACGCGUAAUAUAGUUAUCAGUUGUGCCAAACCGGUUUAAAGGAUUUGGCAGCAGUAAUGGAAGCAUCAUAAAUACAGAAUCGAUUACUUUGGCAUCUAACGUCGUUUCUGUAUUUAAGCAGCUGAUCAAAAAGAGCUGAGGUGAUUACAAUGAGCCACAUUGGCUCUGACAAUUAACUCCGCGGUGUUGAGGUGUGUUGCCGCACCAUCCGUACUCGCUGCAGCACACAGCUCCUCCAGCUUGUCUUCCGCACUGUUCUGCUGAAGCUAUUCCCCGUAGAAAAUAGAAAUGACAACAAAGCUAUUACAUACUAAGAAACGGAAACCGUGUGCAACUUCAUUUUUUGUAAUUUUAUUUAUUGGCUAUUCUGGUCCAAGUGGCGGCCUGCGUGUUAAUUGGGACGACUACUUCACUUGUUUAAAAUCAAAAUUUUCCAAGAAAGUCAGCGAUUUAAUGAUCGACGGACGACAUUUUAAAUCUUGCUCAAAAUCAGAAUUGUAAGGCUAACGUGAUGUACUCUAAAAUUUCUCCUCAAUCUAAUAAUAUACCUGCAUUCUAUGACUUUAUCCUCAAUAUAAUAAUCUAGCUGCAGUUUUAUGACUUUAUGCGCAUAUAUGAAAAACGACGAUAUUCAAUUAAAUUCUUCUUCUUCUUCUUCCUCUCAAUGUUUGUCCUUUAGCCUGCGAUUACGAUAUGUGUUAGUCAAUGUUUAUCCUUUUAGGCUGCGAUCAAGAUAUGUGUUGUGCGACUAACAUACUAAUCUUUAACGGAUGCCAUGCCUACGUGCGUAUGUAAAGGGAAAAUUAUACAUUGCGCUCUGUUGCCUACGUGUGUACGUGAAGGGAAGAUUAUACAUUGGAUUCUGUAGGCCCGUGGUAAAGAAUGAGGGAGUGAGUUCCAAGUCCCUAUAAUUUUCCUCUAAUAAGAGAGCAGUAUACUCUCUAAAAUUAGAGUAGAUUCCUCUUCAGCAAAGAAAUAUUACUCUGGACGUGUAAAAUAUUAGUAGUGUUUUAAUCAAAGAGGCAUCGAAUGACAUUAACUUACGGCCUUCAUAGAAAUUGCGUAACACGUAAUACGUAUGUCCUCCUAGACUCUGUUGAUCUAAUUCUUCUUUCUUGGCAAUGGCAUGCAGCGGUUAAUACUUAUUAUUAUAUCUUCCUUGUUCUGAGAUGAUAAGUUGAUUGAAUCAUUUUUAAAUAAUACUGAGUUGUGCCUUUAUCCCACUAAAACACGCUUAAGUUCCGAUAAGUUUCAGUUCACUUUGUGCCCCAUGACAAUAAUUAAAUAAUUAGAGAUUUUGUUUCAGUCAUGUUAAAUUGCAUCAUCUACAUACAUGUCCUUCUUUUUCAAACGUUUUAAUUUGUUACUUACUUGGUUGGGAAACGUCAAACGGUAGCUUAUUUAAAUUAAAUAAUGUCAUCCCUAUAUAGUGAUUUGUGGCAGUGUCACGCUUGCCUUCAUUUUAUUUGAUUCUUCUUUUUUAUCUUAUUUAAUCUGUGUCUUCGUCAUCGCCAUUUUCGUAGUGCUGUUUGAGGGUUGUACACAUAUAAAUCUUGAAAAGAUAAUUCGCAGUGGUCUACAUUUAGUUUAUUCUUCAAAAUCUUGGACAAAGCAAAGUAAUGAAUUCUGUUGUGCUCUUGCAUCAGAUUGAAACGUAUUAAAUUUAAAUAUAGUAUUAUGUGUGGUGUAGUAUGGACCAUACUUGGGCCGCUGAAGAUAACAUUGACCUUAUGCAAAAAUUUUAAAUAGCUGUUGCAAUUAAAAUUUACUUUACUUUAGGUAUAAAACAAGAAACUAAUGUUUAUGUUAACAGAUUAAAAAAAAAAAAAAAGCAUGUUCAAUUUUAUAAGUAUAGAUUUGAAAAAUGUAGAUUACAAGUAAAUUUUUUUUCCUCAAUUAUUUGUAAGAGUAUACUUUUAAGUUAAUGCUCGACUAAUCUCUGAUUAUAUCACAAGUGUACGGAUCUAAAAUUCCAACAGACUAGGAGUAAUUUUUUUUCUCAAUUAUUUGUGAGAAUAUACUUUUGAGUUAGUGCUCAAUUAAUCUCUAAACUAUAUUACAAGUGUAUGGAUCUAAAUUUCCAAUAAAUUUUAGAUUAUAAUAUAUUUUAAGAAUAAUAACAACUUAAAGAACUUUGAAAAAGAAAAUGAAUGGUUUUGGACAAGGAUCCAAUAUUAAUAUGAUUUUUGUGCUUUUUAAACUAUUUUUUAGAUUUUGAUAUAUUGAAAUAGGUAGAUGCUACUCUUUUGAAUUUUAAUCGGCCAUUAAAAUAUAUUUAGAAAGAAUUCAGAUGGGUCUUGAUAAUAUAUUAGAGAAGAAAAUAAAACUUAUUCCACUUGAAAAUUUUAUCUCUAAAACAUGGAAUUAAUAUGUAGAAAAUCAAUUUAUCCUAAACUAGAGCCUUAAAUUUAGAUGGAGCCCUAAACAAUUGCCUAAGGUUGAGUCACUACUAGAUCGUACAAUAUAUGGUAAAUUUUAUAUUAAUUGUUAUUAAUAAUAAAUUACUUGUUAAUAAAAUAAUAUUACUUUUUACAAAACAAAAACCACCGACGACCGCUCACCACCAUCGGCUGCCAAUGGCAGACAUCUUUCAGUGCUGAAUUUGGUACUGUUAUAAUCUUUAUCUUCGGCUUUACAUAGUGGUAUGAAUAAUACCAGUGAUUAAGUUUCCAUUUGUUGUAGAUCUAAAAUUAAAAUUGGUCUCUCCGUAAUUUCAAGCUCAGAUCUAUGAUGAAUGGAAGCUUAAUGUGAUCUAUAUCUAUACCAUUCUUCAAAAGGAGGGGAAAAAAAAAACUUAAAAAACUAUGAGAUUUUUCAAUGGAGGGCAGAGGGUAAUUAAAGUGUUGUACUAUGUAGUAAAACCUUUAAGAAGCAUAUUGCCAUCAAUCUUGUGAACCUGGUAAUCCUGGCCAACCAGAAUUUGGCAAUCUGGGUUCCUUCAAUUAGUUAGUGAUGAUGACAACCUCCCGUGUAAUAUAAGGAGCUUGCCAUUGGCAACCAUUGCAAAAAUGCCUAAUUUUGUGCAAUAAAUUAAGCAUAUUCAUUUCAUUCCUGCAAGAAGCAGUAUUUUAUUUUAUUUAAAAAAAAAUUAACAUAAUCUCUUUUUUAGCAGAAGAAUAUAAUAAAGCACCAAAUAUAUAUACUGUCAAAGUCAUGCUUGGCACCACCUUUGUAGAUGGGCGGUGCCAAACUAUUAACAUUUUCAAAAUAGUCACCCAAAUUGAAGUCCAAGGAGGUGCCGCCCAAGGAAAGAAAAAGAAAACUUUGAAUCAAGCCCUUGGAUAUAGACUAAAAGCCGAACCACGUAAUUUCUUGGUGUCCUUUUUUGUACUUGUUCUUCUAAUUUUAUUUUAAUUGUGGCCCUACUUCACUCAUCAAUUUGCUAACAUAUACUACUAGGCACUAGCUAAAAGCUUCGAGCAAAUUAAACCUAAUAAUAAUACAACGAAAAGGAAGAUCGGAACGGUCUUGAUCUCAUGAAAAAACACAACAAAACCAUUUUUUCUUUGCAGAAUACUGCUUGUGGUGAUUAGUUUCAGUUUUAUAUUUGCUCCGCGACGUGACGUUCCCAGCAGCAGCCGAGCCACCCCUUUUCUCUUCACUGGCCUUGAUAAAAACAAAAGAAAAUCCAUCAGCAGUUGCGGGAUCAUUCACAUCCCACUCCCCGAAUUUCGGAAGUGUGCUUCCGUGACCAUGAGAUGACAUGAUGAUGGAUGAAUUGAUCACUAACAAGUAAUUAAUAAUGGCCUUGAAUCUUGAUUAUCAGAUAAAUCAUUUGGUUAAUUGAACGAUAUAUCAUAUAUAUAUAAACUGUCGGUGGUGUACAUAUAUGUAAUGUGCAUGUACCUGAUCGAAUAUGAGGAUUGGGAGUGAUUCAGAUUUUUUGGACGAUCAAAUUAAAUAUAGAAAGUCGUUUAAUUAAAGCAGAAAAUGGAUAAGAUUAGAGGAGUUGUUAAUGCAUUCAAGCCACUGCACUCGUAUCAAACACGGAUGGGACGGUGCCUUUUUGUUAGGCUUUUAAGCACCAACCAAUGUAAUUUGCAUUGCGUGUGCAGAUUGCGGAAGCGUUACGUGAGUGGUGAAUCAGUUUAUGGCCCGUUAAGCACGUGUUACCUGCUUCCUUAUCUUUUUUUUUUGACAAGUUCUCUUUUCUUUUUCUUAAGUUUUUCCUUUUUUUUUUCUUUUUUAAAAGUGAGAAUGUUUAUUUUUAUCUAAUUUUCGUUAACUUCAAAAUGGAAAGAGUUCACACAAUAACUCCGCCGCAAAAAACCAAACAAUAAAAUCAUAACACGAAUUUUGCCGACACAUGUUCAGUUCAAUAUUCACUCCAUUGUGCCGUCAGCAGAUGAAUAGCAGCAAAAAACUCAAAUGAUUUUAUUAUUAUUAUUCGAAAAAAGUUUCUAAUGGAUACUCCAACAUUCAACCACCUUUCUUCCCUCCCCCCCCCCCCCCUCUACCAUCAAANNNNNNNNNNNNNNNNNNNNNNNNNNNNNNNNNNNNNNNNNNNNNNNNNNNNNNNNNNNNNNNUAACAUCAAAAUCUAGUGCCUUUCUAGUAUAUUAUGUCUAUUUUUAUACUCUUUUCGAAAUAAAUAUCAUUAUUUUUUUUGUUAAAAUCUUUUUAAGAUUAAACGUUGUUGUAAUUUUUUUGGUGUAGAUAUAAAGCGAAUAAGUAGUAUUUAAAAUAAUUAUUAUACUUCUAUUACGAGAAGUUCAAAUUCUGAGUUUUCGAGUAGAAAUUAUUAAGUUUUUCUUUAGAAAAAAAUGGAUGGUACUACACAUAAGGUAAUAUUUACUUCUAUAUUUAUGAAAUUCUUUCCAAUUCUUUUACGUCAAAAGUCAACUUAUUUGAUCAAAUCUCUACAAACUUCGAUAUGAGCUCGUUAUUCUCCAUCAGAUAAUAUAAGUUCUAAAGAUGAGUAGAUAAGGGUCCUAGCUUCACUUGUUCACUUGUUUGCUUUUAUUUAGAAAUUUGAGGGCAAGUUGCACACAAGCUUGAUGGACUGAGUUGAACCCAAGCUUUACCGAUUAAAUUUGAAUUUAAUUUUCAGUUGGAAUUCUAAAAGAGAUAGAGGAAGAAAAAAAUAUUUUUUCUUUGCCCACCUUUACUGGAUUCUCUCCCCCCCCCCCUCCCCAAAAAAAAAAUUGUACACACACAAUCAAAGACGACUAAAAAUUUCUUGAUUUUUAAAUUUUUUUUCUUGUUUUCUAGUGAAAUCCACGUCAACAAACAAUCGAAGUCCUCAUAUUUUGUGCAUACCAUAAAGAAAGAAAAGAAGUGUUCACAUUGUAAACGUAAAGUGAAUGACCAAUUAGUACGUAAUAAGGUCCUUGUUAUCUUACAUGAAUGGAUAACAAACAUUAGAGAAUUAAAAAAAUCUUUCUUAAUUUUCUAAAACUUUUUUAUUAUUGUUCAUUACAUUUCUAACCGUUCGAUUAAAUCUAACUGAUGUCAAUUCUAAAUGUGUAACCCCCUAGGAAAAUUAAAAUACGCAUAUUAAAGCUCUCCAAUUAAUGUACCAGUUGGGACUUGACUUGAGAGUCCCAUAGUCUUGUAUAGGAUUGGCCGAUUGAGAAUAAAAAGACUCGCAGAACAUCUUUAUGAGUACGAAUAUCAACUAUCAAAAUGAGUAAGAAAGUAUUAAUUGCUAUCACGAUCGAAUUCUUAUAUCAAACUAACUUAAUUUUUGCGUCUUGCGUCUAUAAUUCUAUAUGAUAUAACUGAGUUAAUUUCUUUGGCAUAUGUAAUAUAAUAUUAAAUGGUUUAUGGGCUGACUCAGAGACCAGAACUUAGCUGUAUAGUCUCGCACUGGGUAAUUUUUAAAAACUUCCCCUGAGGAAUUUCAUUUUCAAGUUUUUAAUUUUAUCUUUUUUGUAGAAACUUUAAGAAAAUAUCAAUAAUUUAAAGAGGAUUUUUAAAAUUUUUAAUUUUAUCUUUCUUGUAGGAACUUUAAGAAAAUAUCAAUAAUUUAAAGAGGGUAAAAUAGCCAACAAUUUUAAUUUUUUUUUAAUUAUUUCCGUCUACAAAUUAUUGUUAAGGGUAAUAUUGUCUUUGCACAGUCAACUAACGGUCAAUGUUAAAAUUAACUGACGGUAGGGGAUUUUUUACAAAUAAAUCAAUUCUCGCCAUUUACUUACAACAAGCUCAAACCUCAGGGGAGGUUUUUAAAAAUUACCCGUUUCGCACUAUAUAUAUAUAUAUAUAAUUCCUCAUAUAGGAGGUAGAGGUAGAGGUAAAGGGAGAGAGACGAAAUGGCAAUGGAAUGUUUGGGCGGUCGUCUGUGCUCUGCCUCUGCUAAUAACGUGCCAUUGACUCCAAUAGACUUCCUAGAGCGAGCUGCCCAUGUCUAUGGAGAUGCUACUUCCAUUAUUUACGGCACUGUUAGAUUUUCUUGGAGACAAACUCAUCAAAUAUGCCUCAAGCUUGCUUCUGCUUUAGCUCAGUUGAAGAUUUCUCGUGGUGAUAUCGUAAGUUUCAUUUUUCCUCAUCUUCAUUUCACUCAUUCAACGCUUUAUGCAUAAAUAUUUUUAUUAAUAUUAAUUGAUUUCUUCAAGAUCACUUCUAAUAUUAUUGCCUUCCGCUAUAUAAACAUAUAUACAGCUAACCGGCCUUAUUAAUUACUACUUAAUGCAUGGUUUGUUUCUUAUUCAUAGCUACUGAUUUUUUUGUUAACAAAUUAAAAGUCUCCACAUAACAAACAACUCCUCAAACUUGAAACCAGAAUCCAGAAGGUCUUGCUUCCACAUGAAAGUUGUAUGAAUGGUAAAAGAUUGAUAUUACGGGACUCAAUUAUUUGUGACCGAUGCACACGCACAUAUGCAUAUCUGUGUUGGUUUUGAGUUAAGCGAUGAUUUUACAUGGUUUUAAAGUCAGAUUUUAGGUCCAACGAUAACUUAAUUAACGAUAGCUUUAGAUCGGAAGAAAUGUUAAUAACAAACAAUAACAUUGGAAACAGCGAAGACAAUCGACGGUAUGAAUCUGCUAUUUCUUCCAUUGGAGAUGCUCAGCCUCAGAAAGCUUUAAAAUAUAGAAAAAAAAGGAAAAUAACCUUUGAAAAUUAUUGAUACUACGUGCCAAGUGGACUCCAAAAGGUCAAGAUGCAUUAGGUUCAAGUCAAUGGAGUUUAAUAUAAAACCUCUACUUGUAAUUUGGUGAAUAUAUUUUAUAAAUGUUGUUAUAUAAAAUAUACAGCCAUUGGAGAAUUUGUACUUUAUAGCCAAAAAUUGAAGUGAAUAUAGUAACACAUUAAUUGGCGGACCCUCUUCAACUUCAACAAACUCGCAAGUCUUUUAUUAAUUUCUUGGUGUUCAAUUAUGGAAAAAUUCUAAAAUUUUUAGAAUUGCACCCAAUCAUGAACCCGGACAAAUUAAUUGCAAAAUUUGUCGGUUCCAUUUUGCACGAUUGGUGCAAGUGACUAGUCCAUGUUCGACGAACAUUAACAUACAAAAGAAAGGUCAUCAUAAAAUUAAAACUAAAGUUAAAAGGCAUCUAUUUCUAGCUAGCUAGUAUCCAAUUUCGAUUCGACUGUCAAUAGGUUAGCGGGUCAACUUGGAAAACAGCUCAUUGGGCCCUGCUUGCUAUUUGGGCAGGUUGCGGCUAUGGCACCAAAUAUUCCAGCACUGUACAAGCUGCACUUUGCUGUUCCAAUGGCAGGGGCAGUUCUCUCUGCACUUAAUACCAGGUUAGAUUCAGCCACAUUGGCAUCAAUUCUUCGACAGCUGGAAGCCAAGAUCAUAUUUGUCGAUUAUCAAUUUGUGGAAGUUGUCCAAAAUGCACUUGACAUACUCUCCCCCAAUCACAAAUGUGACAAGGCACCUCUCCUUGUGACAAUCCCUGAAUGUGACCACUACCAACCAAGUACUUGUUCAGUAGCCAACAAUUUCCCAUCGGGUAGUUUGGAUUACAAUGAUCUUCUUGAAAUGGGAAAAGCUGAUUUUGAGAUGAUGCAACCGAAUCACGAAUGUGAUCCGAUUUCUGUGAAUUAUACUUCAGGAUCAACUGGGGAUCCUAAGGGGGUAGUUUACAGCCAUAGAGGUGCCUAUCUCAAUUCUUUGGCACAGAUUUCUCGCUGUGACGUGAGAGACAUGCCUGUGUUUCUAUGGACACUCGACAUGUUUCGAUGCAAUGGCUGGUGCUGCACUUGGGCAAUGGCCGCUGUUGGUGGCAUCAAUGUCUGCAUUAGAACUGUCUCAGCAAAAAUCAUAUUUGAUUCUAUACUUAUUCACAAGGUUACUCAUUUAUGUGGCCAGCCCAGAAUUCUCAACAUGAUUGCAAAUGCAUCGGCAAGUGACCAAAACCAACUUCAACGGAAGGUAAUUAUUGUCAUUGCUGGUGUUCUGCCUACAGUCGAGGUUCUAGAACAAGUUGCAAACUUUGGAUUUAACAUCCGCCACGCAUAUGGAAUGACAGAAGUUCUUGGUCCAGCUAUUGUAAGACAAUGGAAACCUGAAGGGGAGUCUUCAGAAUUGGAUCAUGAACAUGAAAUGACCAAACAUCGCGAAGGGCUUAACAAUCUUCUAAUUCAAGGGGUCGAUGUGAAAGACCAGAAUACGAUGAAAAGUGUACCACAUGAUGGAAAAACUCUGGGUGAAGUAAUGUUUAGAGCCAAUACUGUGAUGUUGGGAUACUUCAAGAAUCCGAAAGCAACAGAGGAAGCUUUCAGGAAUGGAUGGUAUCAUACUGGUGAUCUUGCAGUCAGAAAUCCUGAUGGGUACGUUCAAAUGAAGGAUCGAAGAAAGGACAUUAUCAUUUCUGGGGCAGAGAUUAUAAGCUCAUUAGAGGUGGAAGCAGUGUUGUUAAGUAAUCCUAAGGUUUUGGAAGCUGCUGUUGUUGGAAAAGUUGAUGAUCAAUUGAAGGAAGUGCCUGUUGCUUUUGUGAAACUGAAGGAGGGACGUGAAGCAAGCCCUGAAGAGCUUGUUACGUUUUGUGGGGAUGAAUUGCCAAGUUGUAUGGUUCCAAGGGCCAUAUUUUUUGAAGACAUACCAGUCAAUUCUACUGGUAAAGUGCAGAAAUUUGUGCUCAGGGGGAAGGUCAAUGCCACUGCCGUGGGGUGGUCACUCUAAUCAAAAUAAAGGUUUAAUUUCAUGUAUCAAAAAAAUAAAAAUAAAGGUUUAAUUUCAUUCGCUUUGAUUCCCCUGAGAUACUACUGUCCAAAUUUCAAUGUUCCUUGGAAGUCAAAAACUUUAUGUAGAGUCAAUUAGAUCAAAUAUUCAUGACAGCAUGUUAUCAAUUAAUAUUCUGUGUUACCAAAAUUUUACUUCCGGUUUUGAUAUCCACGUUAAUGAUCCCAAGAAGGGCCCUAGGUACUUUUUUUUUUUUAAUAUUGUUAUAUAACAGAUUCUACAAUUGAGAUCUUCUAUAAUUGGAAUAUUUUUCGUGGCAUGUAUUCAUCUACAGAUUCUACAAUUGGGAUAUUAUGUUUACUUCCCGUUUUGAUAUGUAGAGUCAAUUAGAUCAAAUAUUCACGACAGCCUGUUAUCAAUUAAUAUUCUGUGUUACCAAAAUUUUACUUCUCGUUUUGAUAUCUACGUUAAUGAUCCCAAGAAGGGCCCCAGGUAUUUUUUUUUUUAAUUCUGUAAUAUAACAGAUUCUACAAUUGGGACAUUUUACAAUUGGGAUAUUUUUCGUGGCAUGUACUCAUUUACAGAUUCUAUAAUUGAGACCUUCUACAAUUGAGAUUUUCUUCGUGGCAUGUACUCACAAUUGGGAUAUUCUUCGUGUCAUGUACUUAUCUAAAGCGCUGCUCUUCUAAAGCGUUACCUAGAUUCUUUAAAUUCUCUCAAAUAUUCGAGGACUGUCCAUCCUCUAAAGCGCUGCCUAGAUUCUUUAAACCCUCUCAAAUAUUCGAGAACUGUCCAUCCUCUAAAGCGCUGCCUAGAUUCUUUACACCAUCUCAAAUAUUCGAGGGUUAUCCACUCCGCUCACAUUUCGUGAGGGAUAGACUGACUCCACUCAAUUAUUUGAUAAUUGAUGGAGGAUUGUAAAUAACCCUCAUAAAUAUUUUUAUGAAAACUUAAUCCUUACACUCAACAUUGUAAGUGCAAGAGUUCUCACACUUGACCAAAGACCCAUUGGUAGAGCCCCAAGUACUUAAAUGUUCACAUAAAGAAUCACUACAAAAAACAAUGUGCUCAUCGUAUAUUCGACAAAGCUUCUGUUUUCACGUGAGCAUUGCCUUCGGACAGCAGGGGCCCUAGUACCAGACACUCAUUUCAAUAAUUUGAGGAAAUUUUAAUCACCACGGCAACAGAAAAUUGAGAAUUAAUGGGGUUGGUAUGAUUAUGAUGGAAAUUGGCCAAGACAAAGACCAAUCAAGCAUGUUGUAGGGCAAUGUAUUACGCGUAGCAUCAGUGAAAAUCUGAAUUUGUUUUUCCAAUACAGCUAAGCUGAUCAAGAAAGCGAAUGGAGGAAUGCACUUAUUGGGAGGGCCACUUCAGAGAAUUAAAAACCUAACAUGUGAAUUUCACUUGAAAUGAUCAUAAAAUUCCAAUUAAUGAAGUCAAUCUCAUGGUAGCUUGAUUUUAAAAUCACAUUGAUUUUUGCGAAAACAACUUAUCAACUACUUCUUUUAUUGUGCUUUUUCAAAAUAGAUUAUUCUUCUGGUCCUCUCUCAAAAAAUCAUCCUCACCUUAGAGAAAAGUCAUACAUAUAAUUUUAUUACGAUUUACCUUGAAGAAAUUUCUCUAAGUUCUAGAUACACGCAGCAUUAUUUUUGUCAUUCAUGUAUGUACUACAUCAAAGCAACAGAUGUAGUACAACUAAUAAUAUCACGUGGCUUGUUUAAAUAAGGAAGUUAAUGAUUGAUGGAAACUAGAAAAAAACGAAAAAGAAAAUGAUCGUAAACAACCUAGAUGAAGCCCUCAAUUCUUAGGAAAUCCUUUGAUAAUCAUAAUUGGAAUUUAGUGUUAAUGUAAGGUUAUUAUGUUUCUGCUGCUCAGUGCUUGUAAUCCAGUAAUGGCACGUGCCCUUUAUUUUAACAUAAGCUUAUAAUUAAUCCAGUAAAGUAAGGCAGCGUGGCAUAGGUAUCCUGAUUUCACAUUUAUUUGCCUAUAAUAAUAUAACAUUAUUUUAACUGAACUUGCGUAUUAUAUUAAUUGUACAACAAACAAUUAAUGUAAGAUAAACGUGUAUUUAUUUUAAAAAAUCAUGAUGCGGCAGCAAUUGUAAUACAUCAGAGUCCACACACUGACGCUGACACGUUCAACAAAUGCACAGCUAACCGCUACAUAACGACAUUAACGAGCUGCAAAAUUGCCACCGACCGUUUGUCCUCCACUGAGACUCUUCAGUUCAGGUAAUAUUUUCAGUUUUCACGCACUCUGCUUAAGCUUUCUUUGUCCAGUUGAACUUUUAGCUUUAUGGGUGUCUUUUUAAUGCUGUUACCCCUGACAUUUUCUUUGCAACCAAAGAGAAAUAUGCUGAAUGUUCAUGAGCUUUCUGUGACAAAUUGGUUUGACUAUUGUAUGUUGUUGCUGUGAUAGAGGUUUCUUUGGGUUAGUGGGAAUUUACUUUUUCGGAAAGGAAAGUGGGGUUUCAGUUAACUCUAGCCACAUUGUUGUAUUCGGUUCAAUUCAAUUGAUUCUUUUCUAUUCUGGGUUUUUAUAUUAGAGUAACGUGAUUAUUCUUAUACGAUAAUGUUGUCUCUUCUGUUUUAAUGUGUUCUUUCAGUAACCAACUCAAACUGUUGCCGAUGUUCAUAUGUUUCUACACUACAAUGUUGUUAACAAAUCAUUUGGAAUAUGCUCUUUGUUGAAUUUUCAUUGAUUGUAUGAUACACAUAGGCCGAUCAUCAGCAAUAUGGCAGUUAAUCAGUUCAUCGGAGGACGCUCUUGUGGAAUUACUGGUACGAGUUUCCAAAGAAGAGCAAUAAACAAAAUGGGCAAAGCUUUUCCAAUCUAUAGCAUGGUCAUAGCUCCUCCCAAUUGUUCCUUUGGGGUUAUAAAUCGGGCUAAAAAUGGCUUCAACCCUGCCAUUAUGUGUUGUGGAUCAGUCAGUGAUCAACAUGCUUCGGAUUAUAUCACAAUCAAUCCUUCCGGUGUUGGGGAAAGGUUAGCAUCUGACGGUGGAGAACUGAGCAAGUAAAGCUUGAAACUUAUUUGCUUUAGGCCUUUUAACUAGAAGAUGACUUUCUGUGAAGUUUUUAUCAUUUCCUCUUGUAUCAGCACUCUCUUUCUUCUUUUUCUGGUUGCUGAGGUUCUGAAUUUUUCCCAGUGAGUCAAGGAAGAGUGCUGCCACCAGCCAAUCAUGUGUGCAAAAUGUCCAGCUUGACCUCAUAAUGCUUUCUUUACCAGCAAUUGCUGGACAAGCAAUAGAGCCCAUGGCACAACUGAUGGAAACAGCUUACAUUGGCAGACUGGGUAAGUCUAUAUUCACGCCAAAUUUCUUCACCUUCAAUUUGUUCAGAAGGUUAUUCAAAUUCCAUUUCUUUUUCCCAUGCUUCUGCUUUUCCAUGCUUUUUUCAUACUGAAUUUUCCUCUUUGGUUCAUCGAAGCUGAUUGGGAAUUUUGAAGUCGUGGUCUCUUCCUUUCGGUUGAGAAUUUUAUGAUGCAUGUGACUAUAAUUCUCUUUUAUUCCCCCUUGAGCUCUUAUAUAAUUAAUGUACUGAAAAGGUCCCUUGGAGCUGGCAUCAGCGGGUGUUUCGACAUCAAUAUUCAACAUCCUCUCAAAAGUAUUCAAUAUCCCUCUCCUUAGUGUUGCAACAUCAUUUGUGGCUGAAGAUAUCUCAAGAAGUUCAAGCAAAGAUUCUACUUCAGGUGAAGUUACAGUAGAUCUCGGAAAGCUCUAUUCAACUUUAAGACCUUACUAAGUUGUUCUUACGUUUACUUGAAUCAACUUACAUGAAAUGGUUCAACUAACUGUUCCUUUGAAUAUGACCGUAAAUGAUGUGCAGAUAGUAGCUGUCCAAACGUGAGUUACAAUGGCUGUGAUGAAUCAACUGAUAGAAAGCUUCUACCUUCUGUCUCAACGGCUUUAGUUUUAGCACUUACAAUUGGAAUUCUCGAGGCUUUAGCGAUGUACUUUGGAUCUGGACUGUUUCUCGACAUUAUGGGAAUAUCAUCAGUAAGUUGAACUCAAUUUAUUACUUUGGUUGUACUAAGGCAAUUGCAUAGUUCUCUAAUUCUGCUUCUGUUUGUCCUGACCGACCACAUUAGUGAUAUUAUAACUCGGCAUAGAUCCCAAUUCUGUUACUUGCCAAAUCUUUACUUUCAUUGUGAGUUCAUUUAUUCAUUUUUUUUAUAUGCAUCUAUUUCCAUUUACAGGGGACAACUAUAUUUAAAAAUCAUUUUCUGGACAGGCAUCAUCUAUGCGCAUUCCAGCACAGAGGUUUCUGUCUUUGAGAGCAAUUGGUGCUCCUGCAGUAGUUCUUUCUCUGGCCAUUCAGGGCAUCUUCCGUGGAUUUAAGGACACAAGAACUCCUGUAUUUUGUCUAGGCAAGAUUUUGGCCAACCUUGUGAAAUUAUUGCGAAGAAAGAAAGCUUUUCUCUUUUUGUUGCAUUUCAUAAAUGAAUGACUAGAAAGAUACAAGCAUGCAUGUUCAUGCAGCAUGUCAUUACUGCCCUGCAUAUUAUUUGUAAAUGAAGCUGUUGUACAGGCAAAAAAAUCUAUUUGUUGAGCUGGAUCUUUCUGGGGGAAACAAAGAAGUGAUUAAAUCUUAGAUGAUCGUUUUUCAGGAUUGGGGAAUUUCUCAGCUGUAUUUAUGUUUCCGAUGCUCAUGUACUAUUUUAAGCUAGGUGUAACUGGAGCAGCCAUUUCUACUGUUGGAUCUCAGUAUGUUCUCCCCCUGAUUAAAGUCUUCUUUUUCUUUGAUGACACCAAAAUCGUACAAUGACAUGAUUUGCUUCAUCUUUUUCAGAUACAUGGUCACACUUUUGAUGAUUUGGUAUCUUAAUAAGAGGACUAUUUUAUCAAUUCCCAACAUGAAGAAUUUGCACUUUGGUGACUACCUAAGAUCUGGUAAUUGUCUUCCCUUAAUAUGCCAUUAUUUCUGAAUCUAGCAUGUUUCCAUCUAUUGUUCUCUUGGGUUUUGAUGUCUUUUCAAGUACUGAAUUCAAAUUUAAAGCUUUUUGCCCAUAAAUCAUCUGCUUUUCUGUGCAUUGCAUGGAUCUAUUUGCAUACCAGGUAAAUAGAAUGAACCUUGUGUCCAGGUGGUUAUCUUCUUGGGAGAACUCUGGCUGCUGUCAUGACUAUAACUUUGAGCACUUCAAUAGCUGCUCGUCAAGGAGCUUUAGCCAUGGCAGCUCAUCAGAUAUGCUUACAAGUGUGGUUAUCUGUCUCUAUGCUUGCAGAUGCACAAGCUGCAUCUGGUCAGGUAAAAUUUGAGGAAGAUUACAGGGUUAUCCACACAGUAAUUUACAUGUAGCAAGAUAUUGUUUUAGUUAAUCAUCUGGUUGCUUUAUUGAGGUUUAAAUUUUAAAUAUAAGGAAACAAAACAAGGAGUCUCUUGAUUAUUCUUAUGAAUGUGCUUAUUUACUUAGGACUAUCCAGAUACUCUUUUUCUCUUUUAAUUUUGAAGACAAAUUGUAGAUUAAGUUGUUGGCUUACUUUUAGUUGCUUUGGACAUUGUUAAUUCUCCAUUACUUGUUGUAGGCUCUUAUUGCUAGUUCUUUUGCUAAAGGGGACUACAACACUGUGAAAGAGAUUACCCAUUUUGCUUUGAAGGUGACUUUUGCUUUACGGAACUGCAUAAGAUGUUUGGGUCAUCCGCAUUCUAAGUCUUGUUUAUUCUUUUUGGGUUGACUCUGUUUGAUGAUUAUUUGAUUCAUAUUUUCUCCAGACUGGGUUGUUUACUGGUGUUACUCUAGCUGUCAUAUUGGGUGCUUCUUUCAAUUACUUAGCCACAUUGUUUACCAGCGACACACAAGUACUUGGGAUUGUUAGAUCUGGUUUAUUGGUACGUAUGUAUCUGCUGUUGGUGUGUCUGCGACUAUAGUAAUGACUUAUGAGGUGUUAUUAUAUUCAUCACGUGAUUAUUUUUUUUUGCAGUUUGUCAGUGCCAGUCAACCUGUAACUGCAGUGGCUUAUAUUUUUGAUGGCUUGCAUUAUGGUGUCUCAGAUUUUUCUUACGCUGCUUACUCAAUGGUAAGCUACCUUACCAAAUUUGAUACUUGUUAGAUUAAAUGCUGUGAAGAUUCUAGUCAUCACUUGUAUAGGUUGUUAAAUCUGUGUAAGUGAUGUUCAGAUGGCGGUGGGAGCAAUUUCUUCAGUGUUUUUGCUCUAUGCUCCAAGAGUCUUUGGCCUUUCAGCAGUCUGGUGGGGUUUGACUCUUUUUAUGAGCUUGCGUGUGGUGGCUGGAUAUUUCAGGUACAUCUUGUGGAAUUUUGCUAAUGCAUCAUUUUGGCUGCUUAUUGAUAAUGUCACAUAAUGAAUGGUCCAGAGUAUUUAUAACUUUGUGAAAGCGCCUUUGGUUGUAUUUCCGCAGAUUAUUAUCGAAGAAUGGUCCCUGGUGGUUCUUACAGAAGCAUAUGCCAAAACUUGAGGUAUGUAUAAUGUAAAUAAAGCAUAUCGAUUUGAUUAUCAGUAAUCUAUCUUUCCCUCUUUAAAUAAACAGUUUGUGUCGGUCAUCUAUGUAUUCUUAUUUUCUUCAUUUCCAGAUUGCCAACUGAAAAGGAGAACCAUCUUGUUAGGAGCAACUCCUAGUCCUGGUGUAUGUAGUACAUAAGAAGCAAAUCAGUAUUCCCAAUCUUGUCUUUGCCCUGCUGCAUUUUAUUUUUAAUAUAUUUUUUUAAUAAUGUAUAUUUAAUGGUGACAAACUGGUGUGUGGACUUCUUAAUUUUAAUCUAUAAGAAGGAAGAUUCUGCUUUACCCAUCAAUUAUCUCCCUGCUGAGGAUUGAAACACAAAGAAGCAAAUUAAAAUAAAACACGGGUAGAGCAAGAAAAAUAAUUAAUUAAACAAUAUAGUUGCUUUAAAUACUACAAAAAUUACAAACAAAAUGCUUCACUUUAACUGACAAGCAUGGGAAUUUUUAAUGAAAAUUACAAACUCUAAUUUUUUUUUUAUGGCAAUAGUGGGUAAUAAAUUUGAUAAACAAACUAGAACAAUUUAGAGGCUGCAAAGUUGAUGGAAGAGAUAGAUGGCAAAAUCCAGAACAAAAGCCGAGAACAACAACGACAAAGGGUCAGUGAUGACAUUAUUGCUAGAUCAAAGCUUUUGAAAGUUGGAGCGAAGCUUGAUCGCCUUGAAUGACUUCUUCAUAACCCACCUUCAAAAGCCAACUGAUGUUAAACAGAUCGAUUCAUUGGAUGAGACAGUUGUGUAUGUGAGGGUAUGAGAGCAAAGAGACUUGUUGUUGUACUGUUGGGAAUGAGGCAACUGCGUGGAGACGGGAGAAAACAGCUGCUGCGGUGGAGCUUAUGGCUGCGGCUGGCAGCUAGGAGACGAGAGAGAAAGAGUUGCAAUGAGGGAGAAAGGAAAGCAGUGUAACGAUGGAGAAAGGAAAGAGCCCGUGAACUUUGUUAUUUUAAUAUUUUAAUUUUUUAAUAAAAAAGAGAAACAGAAAUAAGACCCACAGAAACUUAUUUCUGUCGUCCCUUUGUCAUUCCAAAAAAUGUAAAUCCAAAUUUCUCCCAUCGAUACGAUAUAGAAAAUGCUUAACAUCAAGAAGAAUGACGAGAGAAUGCUGAGAGAAACGGCAGCUUGUGCUGCCGUUUUAGCUUCUCUCUCUCUCUCACCAUUUUAAUAAUUUUUUAUUCUUAAAAAUAUAUUAAAAACUAAAAAAAUGACAGAAGACAGCCCAUCACGUGCAUCACUCUCUCGCUAUUCUAAUUUCUAAACAUGUUCCUUUACAUCUUUAUAAUGUUUAAGAGAAAAGUAGAAGUACAAACACAAGGCUACGAUUUUGGCUUCCCAUUUUCUAGUGUUUUUUUUUUCAACAGUAAAAAAAAUUAUCAAUAUUUACAUCAAAACAAUAUAUAUGCUCCUUUGAUAUUAAUGGCCUUUCUCCAAUUAAAUUCUUUAUCCUAUUAAAUUAGAAGAGCAAAUGAAUCGAAUCCCAAUACUAAUUAAAUAGCUUGGACUGGAACCAUACUCUAAAUCUUGAAAGUAUGGGAAUUGCUAGGGUUGAGAACCCCCUUGGCUCAUUUUCAGGUGGUUUGAUAGACGAUCAUGAGUACGGAAAAAAUUGUUCAAGAGUCAUGCCUCUUUCUCAGCAGAAUGCUAAUUUUUUAUUGUUAAAAAUAUAAAAAAAAUGAGAAAAUGACAGAAUCUGGAGAGAGUGAGGAAGCUUGAUGGGGGAGCCGCAAAGAGUGAAGCCGGAGAGAGUGAAGAAGCCAGAGACAGAGAGAGGAUGAAAGUCAAGAGAGGGAGACAGUGAUGGGGAUUUGGUAGAUGCGAGUUGUCUUCUGUCAUUUUCUUCCUUUUUUUUUAUAUUUUUAAUAAUAAAAAAUUAUUAGAAUGGUGAGAGAGUGAGAAGUCGAAACGGCAGUAACUUAGUUUAGCACAACUCUUAGCCAAAAUAACUUAGUACAAACAGAAGCUUGACCCAAAACUAACUUAACAAUACAUAAUGAAUCCAACUCUAUUAGUAACAGAGAUAAACCAAUUUUACUAGCGAGUCGUAAGCCAAAACAGGCCUCAAUCUCACCAAAAUCAACAUCAUUGACGUAACCCCAUUUGUGAACUCCUGUCACCAUCACUUUACCCUCAUGGUUAUGCACCUCAGUGCCCACAAGACCAAACACCAGAUAGCAUCAACAGCCACAUGAACAUUAAGUUUGAAGCACCCCUCAGGAGGUAAUUCCCAAUUUACCACGCCAACAACAUCAUUAGGAGAAGUAUUUGGCAAAACUACCUGCCUAGCACUCUUGAAAGAGAUUAACACACCAUUGGCACGUACAAAUAUUUGCUGUGGUUCUAACACUAGCCCCUGAUUUUGAGCCCACUUAAAUACUCCACCAAAUCAUGUCUUAGGUAUCUCUUUUUCAAUUUGUUAUCUUUUCUUAUUUUUUUCAAUUUGGGGAAAUUAGCUGUGCCGACUGCCGAGGACCCGGUUCUGCAGAAGUUGUGGUAAUUUCUCUUCUUACUGAAAUAGCAGAUACCAUAAACGUCGAUAUUUUGUCAUUCAACUGAAAAUUCAUGUAGAAAUUUGGAGUACUUAACUUUUCACAAGUUUGAAAGAUCCGUCGUCACUAAAUUGGUCAGGACAAUGAAAUCAAACCAAAAAGAAUUGGACAAAAAAAAAAAAAAAAAACUGGAUGGAGAUAUUGAUGGCAAGUGCAUGCCUGAAUCAACUCGCAUUCUCUCGUCAUUCUUGAUGUUAAGCAUUUUCCUUUGGCUAAUAGCUGACAUUCAGCAAUUGCUUAUGCCAAAGCAAGACUUUUAGAAGUUUCAUGUCUCAAGAAUUUAUAAUCAAGUACCAUAUAUUUUAGUGAAAUUUGUUUUGCAGUGUUUAGAUUCAUUUGUAUAUAUAGAUGGAAGAGUAUCCAUCCCAAUUAACUUGUAAUAAUCUUUAAACUUCUAUGAUCUGUUAAUAAUAAGUUAUUUUCUUUGAAAAAAGACACAAAAGAGAAAUUUUAAUGGUUUAUUCCUAUAAGUAUGGAUAUUUUAGAAGAGCCAUAUCCACAAGCAAGAAGAAAUUGAAGUUUUGGUAUGUUCAAAUUUUAAGAAAAAUUGAUGCAAAAUGCUAUAUGUUUGCAUUUCAAGAUCAACUGCUCCUUCACUACAAGUUUCAUCCUCCAAAUAGUCUUUCAUUUUUAGCAAAACUCAUUUCGAAGAAGAGGAGAAUGACGUAGGAAGCAUAUACUAGAAAUUACAAUAUUUGAGUCAAUUUAAUAUUUAGUAUUUUAUUAGGAUUUAUUUUGUUUCAUUAAACUUAUUUGAGUCAUAUUAGUAAUUCUAGUCCAAUUAGGAUUUUAUAUUAAUUCUCUUAUUUGAAAAAAAAUUAGAAUUAAGUUAGCUACUAGUAUAUAGACUUGUUAUUUAUAAUUUAUUUUAAGACCUUUACGUUUUUCAUCAAUAAUAUUCAGUAUUUUCUUAAUUAAUAUAUUUUCUUCUUUGUGAGAACCAUCCUCCUUGAGUUUUAUAGAAUGUACGCUAGAUGAUAUCAAGUAUCGCUUCGUAUUGCGUCACCAUUUGAUUGAAGAUGAUAUUUAUCCAAGUGAUCAACUCUAUCUCAACUAUUUUUCAGAUAAUUUCCUGAUUUAAAAUUUUAAAAAUAUCAAGAAAAAUAUUUCAACUUUUAUUUAUUAUCAUUUAGACUUAGCUCUCUUCUCAUAGUUAUUAAGAAACCCUUACAUUUAUUGUUCUAGACUUUAUAUAUAUACUUUAUAUAUAUUUAACAGCGUCAUAAAAAAACUCUUUAAAUAAGAUUUUACUUCUUAUAUGCACUUUACUAUAAAUUUUACCAUUACUCGUUUUUCACUUGACUUCAUCAAAAUUGAUCAAUUUGAUCAUCUAACAUUUUCUACACAAGUUCCUAAUUUAUCUCAAUUCACUAAACCAUCUUCAUCAGCAAUUCCACUCGGUUUCAUUUUAAAAAAAAAAUCGCAGUGAGGCUUUUUGAGUAGACGAGUAUAUGCAUCUUGUUUCAUCAUGGUUGAAUAUUAGUUUGGAUGCUGUCUAAGGAAAUAAUGAAGCACACCAAAGCUUUCGGAUUCCAGUGUUGGGUGCUCUUUUGACAACUACAACAAAUUUGAAUAGGAAUGGGAUGGAGAAAAAAAAAUCAUUGAUGCAAAGUUGGUCAAAGAUUCAGCAACCCACGGCCAAAAAAAACAGAAAAGGAUAAUUAAAUUUGUUGGAAGAAAAUAUAGAGGGUAAUUAAAUUUGUUCGAGAAAUAGAAGGUACUUUAUUUUGGUGAAGGGAAAGAUUUAAUUAAAAUGGUCACAAAGACCAGCAAAUAUUUAAAAAGAGACACCAAAAUCUUUUUUUGAACAUAAUACCCUUUGAAUAUAGUAAUUAAAAAAAUUAACCUUAAAGUUUUUUAAUUAAUUCAAAUUUAAUAUAAAUAAAAUAAUCUAUUUAGUAGACUAAUAAUAUUAAAUCAUUUGUAACAGUUAAAAUAAUAUUAAAAUUUUAAAUUAUUAUAUUUAUAUUUAAAAAUAUAUCUAUAUUUGUUAUAAAGCUUUUAAAUAAGUCUUUGGGUUAAGUAGAUUCUACAAUUAAAAAAAUAAUAUCUCCCUAUUGAUAACUUUAAUUAUUUUAUUUUAAUAUUAAGUAAAAUAUAAAUAUUUAAAUUAUUUUAAAAUGUAUAUAUUAUUACAUUUAUUUGAAGGUUAGGUUUAUAGAGUUAAAGGGUAUUAUAGUUAAAAGGGAAACUUAGUAUCCCUUACUGAAAAUUUGGGGUAUUUGUGAUCAUUUCUCUAAAAUUUUAUUUUUUCCGUCUAUUAUCUAUCAUAUGAAUAAACAAAUAGAAAUUUAAAAAGUCACCCAGUGAUGAUCUAAUUAUUUACCUAAUUUAUUUUAUUGUAACUUAUAAAAUGAUUAAAACAUAUAAAAAUUAAGUCACAUAAAAAAAGGAGCCAAGUGGGCUAAUGUGUGAUUUUUACAUUAUUUUAAUUGGCCUAUAAGUUACAAUGUAAGUUAAUAGGGCACAAAAAUAAAUAAUAGCUACCCACCUCGUUGAAUCUCUCUCUCAAUGAUACACCCCAGAGCAGGGGUCUAAAUUUAGUUAUAGAUUAUCCUCCUCGUUCAAUAAUCAGUCUUUCUUGUGAAAACACAUCUUAUUACAAUAAUAAUUAUUAUUAUUAUUAUUAUUAUUAUAUCUAAAAAAAGAGUAAGCAGUGGUACUGGUAGUCUGCAGUCUGCCGUGUAAUGAUAAUAUAUAAUAAAUAAAUAAAAACGGAAAUACGCAUCACAGUUGACACAUACCUUCAUUGAAAUCAAGAUAUAUAUAUAUAUAUAUAUAUAAUAGAGGGUCUGGCUAUCUUAUUAUUAUUAUUAUUAUUUUCAGAAGAAUUGUUUCGAACAAAUAGUAUUGUUGUAUUUGAUUAAUCACCAUUAUGAAUCAGAGUUUGAAAGGAUCAUGUGAGGUCUCAAAUAACUCAAGUUUAUCCUUAUUAAUAAAAAAAGAAAUAAAUGCGAUGGACUUGGAGCAGCAGCUGGCUCAAAGCUUGGGUUAACAACUGCCAACUGAAGUAGUAAAUUACUACCGUCGAAGGGGAAGAGAUAUCCAAUCCAAAUCCAAUCCAAUCUAUCUGAUCAGUGAACAGAAAAACACGAAAACAAUGAAUAACUUUUUGAGGGCUUCAUUGCUUGGUUUGAAUCGUAAUUAUCAGAAGCGCAUAAUAAGUCGAAGUAACCGAGGAUUUUGUGGUUUUGGGAUGGGGGUUGGUGGUCAAAAUGAAGCAGCAGAGACGGACACAUGGAAAUCAAUGGUUCGUUGCUCGGCAAACUGCUCUCCGUUGACUCCUAUAACCUUUUUGGAGAGAUCAGCAAAAGUUUACAGAGACAGACCCUCACUUGUUUAUGGUUCUUUAAACUAUACUUGGACCCAAACUCAUCAACGCUGUCUUAAACUUGCUUCUGCUCUCACCCAAUUGGGAAUUUCCAAAGGACAUGUGGUCGGUAUCUCUCUAUCACUUUCUUCGCCCAAAUUAAAUGGCUGCUUCUUCAUUUUCUUUAAUUGAAUUUUUAUACAUACAUGUUUAUGUUUCUCUUUUUUGGGGGAUCCGGACUAUACCACCCUACCACUUCCUUACAUGCUUCAUUUAAUCUUGCAAACUGGACAUUCUAUACACUCUUUAUUUCUGUUUUUGUUUUCUUGAUUUUCAUUCUCAAGUUCAUUGAAAUCCACGGUCAAUUUGGUUUUCUUUUGUGAAAAGUCAUGGUCAAUGUUUUAUUCAGUUGGCUAUUUCAUCUAUCCUAAGCCUACCUUCAUGAUUGCAAUUAUUGACUAUGUAAAUCAUACAGGUUGCAACUCUGGCCCCUAAUGUUCCAGCAGUAUAUGAGCUGCAUUUUGCAGUCCCAAUGGCUGGGGCAGUCCUUUGUACGCUUAAUUCACGUCAUGACUCGGCUAUGGUCUCAGUUUUACUUAGACAUUCCGAAGCAAAGAUUCUAUUUGUAGACUACCAGUUACUCCCCGUUGCUCGUGGGGCGCUUGAUCUUCUAGUGAAUGCGCAAGUAAAACCACCAAUCCUAGUUUUAAUUGCUGAAUCCAAUAGCUCAUCUUCUACGAGUUCAGCUGCUGUAGAUUACGAGUACGAGAGCUUCCUUGAAACAGGACAUAGUGGGUUUGAGAUAAGAAGACCAGGUAAUGAAUGGGAUCCCAUUAGUUUGAAUUAUACUUCUGGCACAACAUCACGGCCCAAAGGAGUAGUUUAUAGUCACAGGGGAGCUUAUCUUAACUCACUUGCUACGGUUUUUCUUCAUGGGAUGGGUUCAAUGCCUGUUUACUUGUGGACCGUACCUAUGUUUCACUGCAACGGCUGGUGCCUUCCCUGGGGGGUGGCAGCUAUGGGUGGCACGAACAUAUGCCUGAGAAGUGUCAAUGCUAAGGAUAUAUUUGAGAGUAUAGCUGCGCAUAAUGUGACAAACAUGGGAGCUGCACCAACUGUCCUUAACAUGAUUGUUAAUUCACCCGUCAGUGUCCAGAGGCCACUUCCCCACAAGGUGGCAAUUGCGACGGGUGGUUCACCACCACCUCCCCAGAUCCUUUCUAAGAUGGAAGAGUUGGGAUUUGACGUAACUCACUUGUAUGGCCUUACAGAAACUUAUGGCCCUGCAACUUAUUGCACAUGGCAACCUGAAUGGAAUUCUCUACCUGUAGCUGAGCGAUCAAGGAUCAAAUCCCGGCAAGGAAUGCACCAUCUGGCCUUGGAGGAUGUUGACAUAAGAGAUCCAGUCACCAUGGAAAGUGUACCAGCUGAUGCUAAAACAAUAGGUGAAAUUAUGUUCAGAGGACACACUGUAAUGAGUGGAUACCUCAAGGACUUAAAAGCAACAGAGGAAGCUUUCAGAGGUGGUUGGUUUCAUACUGGAGAUCUUGCUGUGAAGCAUCCUGAUGGCUAUAUAGAAGUAAAGGAUCGAUUGAAGGAUGUAAUAAUUUCUGGUGGAGAGAAUAUAAGCUCCGUCGAGGUAGAAACAGUAUUGUUCAGUCAUCCAGCAGUUCUCGAAGCUUCUGUUGUUGCAAGGCCAGAUGAUCACUGGGGACAGACACCUUGUGCAUUUGUUAAGUUAAAAGAAGGAUAUAGUGCUGAUGCUCAAGAAAUAAUCAAGUUUUGCCGGGAUCACUUGCCACAUUAUAUGGCUCCUAAGACAGUCAUUUUUGAAGACUUGCCCAAAACUUCAACAGGAAAAGUGCAAAAGUUCAUACUGAGGAAGAAAGCAGAGGCCCUGGGCAGCCUUUCUUAAUCCUAAAACAAAUGUAAAGUCAUGUUUCCAAAUAAAAUGUCACUUUCAUCACAUGGUCAUUGAUUAUUACAAUCUUCACAAGCUGGAGAGCCAUAAUAAAUGUCAAUUGUACAUGGCAUUUGCUUUAAUGUCAAAAUUGUCAUCAUUGUAUAGCAGAAUCCAGCACUUUUAUGAUCAUGUAUAUUUGCAGACUAAGUUGCUCAUAUAAUGGCCCGUGCAGGAUGUUGAUUAACAUCAAGGUGAAGAAUGCCACGGUGAUGUACGGAACCACAGUAUAGAUGAUCUCCAAUCUUGAUUGCACUGGAAAUGAGUGACAUUUCAGGAUCAUAAUAGUGAGCAAUUGGUUUUCCAUCCAAGUCAACGAUAAAAACCCCGCUGCUGCUUUUGCCCAUGGGUGGCAUCCCUAGGUAUCUCACCACCAUUCCUGAAACCUUUCGGAUAAAGGGAUAUCUGUAUGCUAGAUCCCAGUAAGUCGAAAAUUCCUGCAUAAUUACACAAAACUGUUUGAAAUGGGACAAAUGGUGCUGAAAUUGAUUCGUAUUACCUAUUGCCCAAAAUAAUAAUAACAACAACAUAUUACAAGUAGAAAGAAUUGUGUUUACCGUUGCUAAUGCAAUCAAGUAAUGGCCUUCUCCAUCAUAACGUAUGUUAUCAGGCAAGCCUGGCAAAGUCUCAAUGAACUUCUCCACACGUCCAGCGUUCUUGCCUUUGAUGUAAAAUUUUCUGCACCUUCUCCUGCAGCAAUAAAAAAUGAAGGCAUAAGAAAACAUAUUUAGGCUCUGUUGUGUUUUCGGCUAGUGAUUUCAUUUCACAAGAAUAGUGGAUCAAACUCAAACUAAGAAAAGUAGGCUGAAAAACAACAUACAUUGAGGUCUCACAAUAAACGAGAUGAGUUUGGUCUGGUGAAAGCACAACUCCGUUAGCAAAGUAGAGGUCAGAAACGAGAACUUUGGUUUCCUUGGUAACUGGAUCAAAGCUUAGUAAUCUGCCAUUAGGCUUUCCCUCAAAAAUAUCAAGGAUGUAUUCCCUUAAGUAGUAUUUAUUCGAAGCAUCUGUAAAAUAAAUCAUGCCAUCAUCAGCAACAUCUACCCCAUCCGUCAGCUUGAAUUUUUGACCCUCGGCCUCAUCUGUUAGCAACACUGUUGAAUUUCCACUUAUUUUCAGUAGCCCCUGUUACAUAAUGGAUACAACACAAAUCUUUUAUUUAAGAAUGUACCCAACCCUUUUUCAUAAAAGGUCAGAAGGGCCUUGUUAAUUUCCAAAUAGUAUAGUUAUUUUAUAUUGCUUAUGCUAACAAAACAAGCGAUAUUUAUUUGUUUAUUUUUAUUAUUAUUAUUAAAAAAAUGGGAGUGACAUCUAGAUUCUCAAGUUUUUUGAUAUCCUUAAUUUUUUAUUACUCAUCAAGACACGAGUCAUCAUCAUGUACACAUGAGUUAUCAUCAUAUUACAAUGCGAGUUACGAGAAAUUUUAAAAUAUAUUGUAUCAGCAUAUAAUAUAACCUUAAUUUAAAAAUGGAAUUAAAAAAAAAAAUGAACUAUUUUGGUGAAAGUUAGUGAAAGACAAGAUUGACCUUGUAAGCGUCCGCAACGAUCAUAGUGAUACGAUCGGCAUCGGGAUCGCUGUUUGCAAAAGCGAUUCCCAGUGGUCGGCCGCCAGUAUUAAUCCAGUUGUGAACAAGUGAAUCAGCCGGCGAGUCGUUGAGCGUGACUCGCUUAAUCCACCCAUCUUCACAGCCGGUGUAAAUGAGUUUGGAGUGAGCAUCAUACAAAAGAUCUUCCGGUCCCUUCAAGACUCCAUAACCUACCUUCUCCGAUCCUUGUAACAUGCGCUCGUUGCGCAGCGCCGCCGUUAAUGGCGGGUGAGUGAACUCGUGGACAGGAAUUGGAGCUGGGUCGAACGAAUCGAGUUUGUAAACCAACAUGGCUAAAAAUACAGGACCACCCGUUAAAAAUACAGUAACAAGCCAUAACCUAGAGCUGCUGCUGCUGCUGCUGGUAUCAGCGGAAACUGAUUCAGGCAUCGAGUUUGGCAUCAGUUUAGUUUGGUUUUACAGCUGUUAUGCAAAAGAGUAGUUGAGAUGAGAUUUAGCGCAUAUAUAUAUAUAUAUUUGGUUGUUUCUACGUUCAAAAUGCUCUAAUAUGUUGGACUCCAAUCUAAUAAUAAACAAUUAAAAGUCCACAUUUUUUUUUCUAGAAAUGGAUAUAAUAAAAUGUGGGUCCCCCGUCCUGAUCCACAUUUCCCUAGAAGCGGGAAGGUUGCGGCAACGGAUUUGCCAGCAUUUCAAAUACGUAAAUUGGAUUUUACUUAACAUGCGAUGCAUGUAAUUAUCUAGGCGGCUAGGCAUCAAAGGCCAUAUCCACGUGAGAAAAGUCAUAUUGCAUAAGUUGACUUGGGAAUUUUGGCUUUUCUUUUACUUGCUGGAUUCACCGAUGGGAAUCUGGAAUCGGACUAAUACCCAUAUUUACUUAGUAAAAUAAGAGAAAUAAUAAGAUUUAUUUUGGGAGACUCUACAGUAAUUUGAGAAUUAAAAAUAGAAAUCUGAUUCCUAAGGGAGCUUGGGAAUCUGACUUCCAUUCUUAAAAUUUUCUAUUUUGUCUCAAUUAAUUCUUCAUUAUUUCUAAAGUGUCCUUACUUCAAAUAAAAAAAUAUAAAUAGCGAAAAAAAAAAGAAAAAUCCUAAAACAUAAAUUCUCUCACACUCGACUUCCAGCCAAACGCCAUUGUAGGUGCUUCUAUCACCAUCAUGCCCAUAAUCAUCCACCAUCUUCAUCGUCGUUGGUCUGUCGACCGUGGACCACAGUUGGUUGCCGGUUUCGUAUUCGUUGGGUUGUCUUGAUUUCAUCUCCAUCUCAGUUUCAUCCCCAUCUCUUUUCGUCUUUGUUUCGCUGCCGAUUUCGUCUCUAAUGGCCAUGGUUCUGGUCCGAUGAUGAUGAGAUGCUAGCGAUGAUAAUUUGUUGUUGCUGCUGUAGUUGGUGACGAUGAUGAUUCCGAUUUUUAUUAUUGUUGUUUUUUUAAAUAGAUUAUUUUGUUGAUAAUGAUUAUUUGAGAUUUUGAUUAUUCUUAUUAUUAUUAUUAUUUUGUUGAUGAUGAUGAACCGAUUAUGAUUAUUAUUUUUUAAUGGAUUAUUAUUUUGUUAAUGAUUUUAUUAUUAUUAUUAAGAAGAAG
rnacentral:lncRNA from 1 species